rnacentral:lncRNA from 1 species
CUGUGACUGAAGGUGGAGGGCAGAAAGGUCUUGCCCUCAAAGAGAUGCACGCAGUGGGGUUGGGAGAUACCAGGCAUAAUGGGUGACCCCUCCUGCAAGGCAAGGGUCGUCAUCCCUCAGGUCUCUCUCUCUCCACUGCUACCCAUAGGACGCAGCACUGAGAAAGAUGCUCCAGGGGGGUCUGCUCUCCCUGGAUGCUGAGCCCAUCUGAUGCCAUGGCUCCCCUCUUAAUGUCUCAGCACAGCAUACCUUCAAGGUUGCCUGUUAUCUUCAGGAAUACCCCUGACUUUUCCUUGUCAGGAUCAAAGCCAUCCUCUUUCCAUGCCACUCUUGAUGUGGACUCCACCCACCCCAAAACAAGCAGGCCCAACCCUGCUUGUGAUCACGUUGUUUUGGCUGGAAGAGGAGCUUCCAACUUCUUCAUCAGCCAUCCAGGCCAAACAUCCAGUAUUAAAGCAAAAAAUGAAGGCCAGGAGUCCAAAGAUGGAUUGUGCAAGAAGACAUCCUGUUGCCAAGUGGGGUGUCUUAACUAACUAGAGUCUAGGCUCUGAGAAAUGAAGUUCCAGCAGAUGACAGGUCAUCCUGUCAUGUACUCACCAUCUCUGAAAGCAGCUUGUUGGCGGGUGUGCUGGUCUUCUCAUGUGGGGCUGGCCAGAGAGAGG